ACUUUCCUUGUCAUGGGGUGAGUGAGCUGCUCAAUGAACGUGUAGUGAGAGUAGCCCUGCUGACACCAUAUCAACACUUACGCAUCACCUGGACUCCGGUCUGGGCUAUGGUGCAAUUUUUGGAACC
ensembl:snRNA